rnacentral:lncRNA from 1 species
CUUUUAGGAAGUUAUAUAGGUAUUAUAUUUAGGAGGCAGCCACAUCUCAUGUCUUAAGGGAAAAAAAUCAAUAAUAGUUUUAGUUAGCAUGGAAAUGCUAAAGACAGCAGUCCUUUAGGGAUUAGGAAUGAAUCUAAUAGGUUUGAUUAACUCUGCUUCAUUUGGUUGUAUGAAGCAUUAGAAUGGCUUAGGUGAGAAAUGGAUUAGAAUUCAGUAUGAUGCA